CAAUAGCGUAUAUUAAAGUUGUUGCAGUUAAAAAGCUCGUAGUUGGAUUUCUGGUAGGAGCGACCGUGCCGAACUUGAUUGUUCGAGUAUUGUGUUGUCUUCAGCCAUCCUCGUGGAGAACUUUUCUAACAUUAACUUGUUGGGAUUGGGACCCGCGUCGUUUACUGUGAGAAAAUUAGAGUGUUUAAAGCAGGCAUUAGCUUGAAUACAUUAGCAUGGAAUAAUAAGAUAGGACUUUGGUACUAUUUUGUUGGUUUGCAUACCAAAUUAAUGAUCAACAGGAACAGUUUGAGGAUAUUCGUAUGAACAUGUCAGAGGUGAAAUUCUUGGAUUUUGAUCAGACGAACUACUGCGAAAGCAUUUAUCAAGGAUGUUUUCAUUAA
rnacentral:rRNA from 1 species